UUAGAGUUUGAUCCUGGCUCAGAUUGAACGCUGGCGGCAGGCCUAACACAUGCAAGUCGAGCGGAAACGGCAGUAUUGAAGCUUCGGUGGAUUUACUGGACGUCGAGCGGCGGACGGGUGAGUAACGGCUGGGAACCUGCCCUGACGAGGGGGAUAACCGUUGGAAACGACGGCUAAUACCGCAUAAUGUCUUAGUUCAUUACGAGCUGGGACCAAAGGUGGCCUCUACAUGUAAGCUAUCGCGUUGGGAUGGGCCCAGUUAGGAUUAGCUAGUUGGUAAGGUAAUGGCUUACCAAGGCAACGAUCCUUAGCUGGUUUGAGAGGAUGAUCAGCCACACUGGGACUGAGACACGGCCCAGACUCCUACGGGAGGCAGCAGUGGGGAAUAUUGCACAAUGGGGGAGACCCUGAUGCAGCCAUGCCGCGUGUGUGAAGAAGGCCUUCGGGUUGUAAAGCACUUUCAGCAGUGAGGAAGGUCGUGUACUUAAUACGUGCACGGCUUGACGUUAGCUGCAGAAGAAGCACCGGCUAACUCCGUGCCAGCAGCCGCGGUAAUACGGAGGGUGCGAGCGUUAAUCGGAAUUACUGGGCGUAAAGCGCAUGCAGGCGGUUUGUUAAGUCAGAUGUGAAAGCCCGGGGCUCAACCUCGGAACCGCAUUUGAAACUGGCAGGCUAGAGUCUUGUAGAGGGGGGUAGAAUUUCAGGUGUAGCGGUGAAAUGCGUAGAGAUCUGAAGGAAUACCAGUGGCGAAGGCGGCCCCCUGGACAAAGACUGACGCUCAGAUGCGAAAGCGUGGGUAGCAAACAGGAUUAGAUACCCUGGUAGUCCACGCCGUAAACGCUGUCUACUUGGAGGUUGAGGUUUUAGACUUUGGCUUUCAGCGCUAACGCAUUAAGUAGACCGCCUGGGGAGUACGGCCGCAAGGUUAAAACUCAAAUGAAUUGACGGGGGCCCGCACAAGCGGUGGAGCAUGUGGUUUAAUUCGAUGCAACGCGAAGAACCUUACCUACUCUUGACAUCCAGCGAAGCCUUUAGAGAUAGAGGCGUGCCUUCGGGAGCGCUGAGACAGGUGCUGCAUGGCUGUCGUCAGCUCGUGUUGUGAAAUGUUGGGUUAAGUCCCGCAACGAGCGCAACCCUUAUCCUUGUUUGCCAGCGCAUAAUGGUGGGAACUCCAGGGAGACUGCCGGUGAUAAACCGGAGGAAGGUGGGGACGACGUCAAGUCAUCAUGGCCCUUACGAGUAGGGCUACACACGUGCUACAAUGGCAGAUACAGAGGGCAGCGAGACAGCGAUGUUUAGCGAAUCCCUUAAAGUUUGUCGUAGUCCGGAUUGGAGUCUGCAACUCGACUCCAUGAAGUCGGAAUCGCUAGUAAUCGUGGAUCAGAAUGCCACGGUGAAUACGUUCCCGGGCCUUGUACACACCGCCCGUCACACCAUGGGAGUGGGCUGCACCAGAAGUAGAUAGCUUAACCUUCGGGAGGGCGUUUACCACGGUGUGGUUCAUGACUGGGGUGAAGUCGUAACAAGGUAGCCGUA
rnacentral:rRNA from 1 species